CCUACGUGUGGCAGCAGUGGGGAAUAUUGGGCAAUGGGCGCAAGCCUGACGCAGCAACGCCGCGUGAGUGAAGAAGUCUUUCGGUUUGUAAACUUCUUUCGACAGGGAAGAGUAUAAGACGGUACCUGUCGAAUAAGCCACGGCUAACUACGUUCCAGCAGCCGCGGUAAGACGGAGGUGGCAGGCGUUUUCCGGUUUUACUGGGUGUAAAGGGCGUGUAGCCGGGUUGAAAAGUCAGAUGUGAAAUCCUGCGGCGUAACCGCAGAACUGCAUUUGAAACUGUUGAUCUUGAGUACUGGAGAGGCAGACGGAAUUCCUAGUGUAGCGGUGAAAUGCGUAGAUAUUAGGAGGAACACCAGUGGCGAAGGCGGCCUGCUGGACAGCAACUGACGGUGAGGCGCGAAAGCGUGGGGAGCAAACAGGAUUAGAUACCCCUGUAGUC
rnacentral:rRNA from 1 species